rnacentral:rRNA from 1 species
UUAAGCGACUAAGCGUACACGGUGGAUGCCCUGGCAGUCAGAGGCGAUGAAGGACGUGCUAAUCUGCGAAAAGCGUCGGUAAGGUGAUAUGAACCGUUACAGCCGGCGAUGUCCGAAUGGGGAAACCCAGUGCAAUUCGUUGCACUAUCGUUAACUGAAUACAUAGGUUAACGAGGCGAACCGGGGGAACUGAAACAUCUAAGUACCCCGAGGAAAAGAAAUCAACCGAGAUUCCCCCAGUAGCGGCGAGCGAACGGGGAGCAGCCCAGAGUCUGAAUCAGCUUGUGUGUUAGUGGAACGGUCUGGAAAGUCCGACGGUACAGGGUGAUAGUCCCGUACACCAAAAUGCACAGGCUGUGAACUCGAAGAGUAGGGCGGGACACGUGGUAUCCUGUCUGAAUAUGGGGGGACCAUCCUCCAAGGCUAAAUACUCCUGACUGACCGAUAGUGAACCAGUACCGUGAGGGAAAGGCGAAAAGAACCCCGGCGAGGGGAGUGAAAAAGAACCUGAAACCGUGUACGUACAAGCAGUGGGAGCACCUUCGGGUGUGACUGCGUACCUUUUGUAUAAUGGGUCAGCGACUUAUAUUCUGUAGCAAGGUUAACCGUAUAGGGGAGCCGCAGGGAAACCGAGUCUUAACUGGGCGUUAAGUUGCAGGGUAUAGACCCGAAACCCGGUGAUCUAGCCAUGGGCAGGUUGAAGGUUGGGUAACACUAACUGGAGGACCGAACCGACUAAUGUUGAAAAAUUAGCGGAUGACUUGUGGCUGGGGGUGAAAGGCCAAUCAAACCGGGAGAUAGCUGGUUCUCCCCGAAAGCUAUUUAGGUAGCGCCUCGUGAACUCAUCUUCGGGGGUAGAGCACUGUUUCGGCUAGGGGGUCAUCCCGACUUACCAACCCGAUGCAAACUACGAAUACCGAAGAAUGUUAUCACGGGAGACACACGGCGGGUGCUAACGUCCGUCGUGAAGAGGGAAACAACCCAGACCGCCAGCUAAGGUCCCAAAGUCAUGGUUAAGUGGGAAACGAUGUGGGAAGGCACAGACAGCCAGGAUGUUGGCUUAGAAGCAGCCAUCAUUUAAAGAAAGCGUAAUAGCUCACUGGUCGAGUCGGCCUGCGCGGAAGAUGUAACGGGGCUAAACCAUGCACCGAAGCUGCGGCAGCGACACUAUGUGUUGUUGGGUAGGGGAGCGUUCUGUAAGCCUGCGAAGGUGACCUGUGAGGGUUGCUGGAGGUAUCAGAAGUGCGAAUGCUGACAUAAGUAACGAUAAAGCGGGUGAAAAGCCCGCUCGCCGGAAGACCAAGGGUUCCUGUCCAACGUUAAUCGGGGCAGGGUGAGUCGACCCCUAAGGCGAGGCCGAAAGGCGUAGUCGAUGGGAAACAGGUUAAUAUUCCUGUACUUGGUGUUACUGCGAAGGGGGGACGGAGAAGGCUAUGUUAGCCGGGCGACGGUUGUCCCGGUUUAAGCAUGUAGGCUGGUUAUCCAGGCAAAUCCGGAUAAUCAAGGCUGAGGUGUGAUGACGAGGCACUACGGUGCUGAAGUAACAAAUGCCCUGCUUCCAGGAAAAGCCUCUAAGCAUCAGGUAACAUCAAAUCGUACCCCAAACCGACACAGGUGGUCAGGUAGAGAAUACCAAGGCGCUUGAGAGAACUCGGGUGAAGGAACUAGGCAAAAUGGUGCCGUAACUUCGGGAGAAGGCACGCUGGUGUGUAGGUGAAGUCCCUGCGGAUGGAGCUGAGACCAGUCGAAGAUACCAGCUGGCUGCAACUGUUUAUUAAAAACACAGCACUGUGCAAACACGAAAGUGGACGUAUACGGUGUGACGCCUGCCCGGUGCCGGAAGGUUAAUUGAUGGGGUUAUCCGUAAGGAGAAGCUCUUGAUCGAAGCCCCGGUAAACGGCGGCCGUAACUAUAACGGUCCUAAGGUAGCGAAAUUCCUUGUCGGGUAAGUUCCGACCUG